rnacentral:tRNA from 1 species
GAAUUUAUAAUUUAUUAAAAAAUAUUAGUUUGCAAAAUUAAAAAUAUAGAAAUAUUAAAUUCU